AGAGUUUGAUCAUGGCUACAGAACGAACGCUGGCGGCGCGUCUUAAACAUGCAAGUCGAACGAUCUGUAGCAAUACAGGGAGUGGCGGACGGGUGAGGAACACGUAGGAAUCUACCUUGAAGAGCGGGACAACUUUGGGAAACCGGGGCUAAUACCGCAUAGUACAGAGAUGUUAAAGGGCUAGCAAUAGUCGCUUCGAGAUGAGCCUGCGGUCUAUCAGCUUGUUGGUGAGGUAAUGGCUCACCAAGGCUACGACGGAUAGCCGGUCUGAGAGGAUGAUCGGCCACACUGGCACUGAGACACGGGCCAGACUCCUACGGGAGGCAGCAGUUAAGAAUCUUGCGCAAUGGGGGAAACCCUGACGCAGCGACGCCGCGUGAAGGAUGAAGGCUUUCGGGUUGUAAACUUCGGUAGACUGGGAAGAAGAAAUACGUUCGUUGAGGGCGUAUAGUGACGGUACCAGUCUGAAGCCCCGGCUAAUUACGUG
rnacentral:rRNA from 1 species